rnacentral:pre_miRNA from 1 species
GGUUGUGUGUGGAUGGUGUUCAGCACCAGGGACAGGUGUGUUUCCCUGUGUGUGGAUGGUCUUCAAUGCCAGGGGAAGACAUGUUUGUAU